UUGAUAUCAUUCAUAAUUUGAUAGGCUCUCGUCCAAUCACCGAAGUUAAGCAAUGUCGGGCCCGGGUAGUACUUGGGAGGGUGACCACCUGGAAACACCGGGGGCUGUAGGGU